GAUCUGGGUUUGCCCUAAUAAUCCCACAUCGGAUGAAAAAAUAAGAGUUUGGGUUGGUUGUUUGGGUUAAGUAUUUUGGGCCGGUUUUUGAGUGGAUUGAAUCGAUACAAUUGGUAUCAGAGUUGAAUACCAGCCAGAAGUGUGAGAGCUAAAUGCUAUGCAGAGCAAGGUGUUAUACCAACGAAUUUGAGUGGAGCCACCUCUUGAACCAGUAGGAACCACUUCUAGAAUCUCAUAUUGGAGCCACCUCUUGAAUCAGUAGGAGUCACUUCUAGAAUCUCAUAUUACAUGAUAAUUCUAGUCUAUAUAUCUUAAAGAGUAGAAGCCAGAUCUAGAAUCUCACAUUGCCUAAUAAUUCUGAUCUAUAUAUAUGUAAUCUGGGUUACAAUUGGUAUCAGAGUUGAAUACCAGCCGGAAGUGUGAGAGCUAAAUGCUAUGUGGAGCAAAGUGCUAUACCAACGAAUUUGAUUCAAGUCACCUCUUAAAGAGUAGGAGCUAGCUCUAGAAUCUCACAUUGUCUAAUACUUUUGAUCUAUAUGUCUGUGAUAUGGGUUUGGACCUAAUGAGGAGAUUAAGAUCUAAACGGGGGGGGACUCUGUAAUAACCUAAUAGUCCCACAUUGGAUAAAAAAAUAAUUCCGAUUGGAUUAGAUGAGGCCUUGCACGUUAAUAAUAAUAAUCGACUUUUAAGUAUUUUGGGCCGGUGAUUUAGGCCCAACGAGUUAUUAUUGUUAACGGAUUGAGGAUCAUUACAAUUAUAUAUGAAAAUUAAUUUGAUUCUAGUUGAGUUAUUAUGUUAUUGUUAGUGGGUUGGGUCCUUACAAGAAUUUAGUGAAAACUUUUGUAAUCAUUUUUUUUGUCUAUUUUCUCUCUAGUUCUGUGGGCUUACAUAUUUGCUAAUCUAGUAGAUAUGCGAGAUCUGUUACGCAUCGGGAUCCAACCCACUAGCAAUAAUAACUCAUUUGGAUCCAAACUACUGGCCCAAAAUACUUAAGUCCGGAUAUUAUUACUAGCAUGUAAUGCUUCACAAAAUCUAAUCAGAAUCAUUUUUCCAUUCGACGUGAGACUAUUGGGACAUUACAGUUAGUAUAUAUUCUGAAAUGAAAUUAUAAUCAUUAAUAAAUUCAAAAUAUUUCAUAAUUGAAAACUUAUCUGUGCCUUACUUUUUAAUAUUAUG
rnacentral:lncRNA from 1 species